rnacentral:misc_RNA from 1 species
CAGAAAAAGGCAUGGCUCAUCCUCAAGAGUUGGAAGCUCUCACCAAGGCUUUCUCAGGUUCCUUUUUAACUUCAAUUCAUUCUUUGUUUUUCUUACCUUUGCUUCUCUCUAUUUGUAAAAAUACGCAUCUAACUCUUUGAUCGUAAAUGUUCAUUUCUUUGCAAAAUCAAGAAUUGAUCAAUCUUGCUUCCUUCUUCACAUUCUUUCUUGUUUUCUGACGAACUCUAUUGAAUUCAAACCCGUAAGAGCUGAGGAAAUUCUUUCCUUUUUCAUUUUCCCUCUUUUUCUGCAUAUAUAUACCAGGACUUGGAGUUGAUGAGAAGUCAUUAAUAUCAAUUCUGGGAAAAUCACAUCUUGAGCAUAGGACAACAUUCAGAGAGAGAAGUCCUCACUUCUUCAUUGAAGAUGAACGUUCUUUUGAACGCUGGGAUGAUCACAGUAUCAAUCUUCUCAGGCAUGAAUUUAUGAGAUUUGAGGUAUUUUUUCUAUUUCUUUGUUUUCCUUUUAGCAUUUUUUUUCUUGCUUAAAAUUGAAAAUUGUUGUUUCAAAGAUGAUAAGCUGUAAGUAUGAGUUUGAAUCUCUGUUGAAAUGGGAUCCGAAAAUGACAGUGGUUGACAAUAUUUGUAACUAUUUCUCUGUAUGAUUGUUUAGAAUGCUGUGGUGCUCUGUGCCAUGCAUCCCUGGGAAAGAGAUGCUCGUUUGGUGUAUGAGGCUUUGAGGCUUGGUCCACAAUCUUAUGGUGUGAUUGUAGAGAUUGCAUGCACUAGAUCCUCAGAAGAGUUAUUGGGAGCAAGGAAAGCCUACCAUUCCCUCUAUGAUCACUCCAUUGAAGAAGAUGUUGCCACCCAUAUCACUGGCAGUGAGGGUAAGGUACAAAGUUCAAUUAAUGGAUCAAAAGAAUUCAGGAAAAAAACAGUAAAACUAUGAGUCCCAAAAUGCUUAUUUAUGCAGUAUAAAGUUUUCUUUUGGUACUUAAUUGUUAGACUAUUUUUGAGUCAGCUUUUACACACUGAGAUUAAGUCCUCUGUCAAAUAAUCCUAAGGUACACUCUGACCUAUUGCAAUUUAGAAGUUUUAAAUAACUCUAGAAUACUUUCAGCAGAGUCAAACCCGAUUAAUAAAGAAGAGAGAUUUCAUCUUUACUAAACAGACCAAUUGUGAAUAUGGAAAGGAUGUAAUUGAUUUGGUUGUUCUUCUCUGUUAUCAGCUCCUGGUAGCACUAGUGAGUGCGUAUAGGUAUGAAGGGCCAAAGGUUAGGGAAGACAAUGCAAAAUCUGAAGCAAAAAUAGUUGCUAAUGCUAUUAAAAAUGGUGAUAAGAAAAAUCCUAUACAGGAUGAUGAGGUGAUAAGAAUUCUAACAACAAGAAGCAAGCUGCAUCUCAAGGCUAUUUACAAACAUUACAACGAAGUUUCUGGCAAAAGCAUCCAUGAGGAUCUUGAAGCUGCUGACUUGAUUUUAAAGGAGACAGUUGAAUGCUUAUGUACUCCUCGUACAUAUUUCAGCAAGGUAAGAUAAUGGCACUAACAAUCUUAAAGAAACUCAGCUUCUGAUAUAAAACUUUGACAAUAAAUUAUUAGCAUUUUCUUGGGUUGCAAAUAAAUUAUUUCAGGUAAUAGAUGAGGCAAUGAGAAAUGAUGCAGAUCACAACACCAAAAACUCACUGACAAGAGUAAUUGUUACCAGAGCAGAUGUGGAUUUGAAAGAGAUUAAAGAAGGGUACAAUAACUUAUACGGAGUUCCCCUCUCCCAGAAAAUUGAAGACAAUGCAAAUGGGAACUAUAAGGAUUUCUUGCUUGCCUUGAUAACAAAAGACUAAUUGGAGGAGUGAAGGAUGAGAACAGAACUGAAAUUAAGAGGAAUUUGGUGAAACGAUUGAAUUCUGGCUUCAAUGGUUAUGUUCUUAUCUUCACCUACGUUUUUCCCUUCAUCUGUGUUUCAUGAAAUGUUGCCUUGCGUGUGUAUGAGUUGCGGUUAAAAAGAACCUAAAUAAACUAUAACUCUUCUUUCUGCUGUGGGAUUUCAGAGGAAGGGGGGCAACUGCCCCCCACCACCAACCCUUAGUUCUUUGUAACAUAUAUAUACAUACAUUCAGCCUUAAUCAGAUUAUCCAAUUAGAAUCAAAACUAAGUUUAAUUAAUCAAUAUCAAAUUUUUUUUAAAGGGAAAAUCAUUUUUUUUUCUCAAGGGAUAUUUUAGUCAUUACACUUUUUUCAUUUAAUUUAAUACAAUCCAUAAUUUUGUCUGCUUCUUAAGCAUGAAGAUUCUGGAAAACAAUUAUAGUUCUUGUUUUAUUUUAAAGAUAAAAAAUGUUUGUUGAUAACUAUUAAUAAAUAAAGCACCUUCUUAGAGAAACUCUGCAAUAA